UGCGCAGGCGGUUAUGUAAGACAGAUGUGAAAUGCCCGGGCUUAACCUGGGAACUGCAUUUGUGACUGCAUGGCUAGAGUUUGGCAGAGGGGGGUAGAAUUCCACGUGUAGCAGUGAAAUGCGUAGAUAUGUGGAGGAACACCGAUGGCGAAGGCAGCCCCCUGGGUCAAGACUGACGCUCAUGCACGAAAGCGUGGGGAGCAAACA
rnacentral:rRNA from 1 species